CCAGUGCACCCCAGCCUGACACAGCAAGAUUCUGUCUCAAAAAGAAAAGAAAAAAGACAAGAAAUAGAGCUCCAUGAUCAACCCUCAUGACUUCAAGUGUGACUCAUAAACCAACCACAGCAGCGUCACUCGGAGCUUGCUAGAAAUAGAAACAUCUCAGCCCUAUUCUAGUCUGCCUGGGUGAGAAUCUACGCUUUAACCACAUCUCCAGGUGACUCCCAAAGCAUCUGUGCUUGGCGGCCACAGGGAAGGGAAAACAGGAACGCCUGGAGGCAGUACAUUCCCGUCCUCACCCACACAGGGCAUGGCUUCCUAGACGAGUCUCCGAACCUGGAUGUCUGCAGUGUCCUGGCACGCUGCUGUUCUUGGAAGUCACUGAUUGGAAACCGGAAGCGAGAGCCACCUCCUUCCCAGCCUAGCUGAGGCAGCCUUGCUGAGAAGCCAUUCCAGGGCAGGGCAGAGCUUAUGGAAUUUACCAAAUGAAUCACCUGGCUUCGUGUUUGGCUAC